UGGGGAAUCUUGCACAAUGGGGGCAACCCUGAUGCAGCGACGCCGCGUGAGCGAUGAAGGUUUUCGAAUCGUAAAGCUCUGUCCUAUGAGAAGAUAAUGACGGUAUCAUAGGAGGAAGCCCUGGCUAAAUACGUGCCAGCAGCCGCGGUAAUACGUAUGGGGCGAGCGUUGUCCGGAAUUAUUGGGCGUAAAGGGUACGUAGGUGGUUUUUUAAGUCAGGUGUCAAAGCGUGGAGCUUAACUCCAUUAAGCACUUGAAACUGAAAGACUUGAGUGAAGGAGAGGAAAGUGGAAUUCCUAGUGUAGCGGUGAAAUGCGUAGAUAUUAGGAGGAAUACCGGUGGCGAAGGCGACUUUCUGGACUUUUACUGACGCUCAGGUACGAAAGCGUGGGGAGCAAACAGG
rnacentral:rRNA from 1 species